UUAUAUUAUUAUAUUAUAGCAGGGGUCACCAACACGGUGCCCGCGGGCCCCCGGUCGCCCGAGGGGACCUUGUCAGUCGCCCGCAGAGCAAGUUCUAAAAAUAGCCAUUGUCAUUAGGGAGCACUGCCAACAAAAUU